ACCAAGUUUUUUCCUCUCCUUUGCUGUUUCCUCUCCUUAGAGUGCGUGGGAAGGUGUUGACUGUUAGUAGGUCUAGUUCCUGCUCUUCCGUUAAACUGGGUCAUCACAAUUUACCCUCCUACCUGCUGUAAGGAUUUGGGAUUUUUUUCCUUCUCUACCCUUUGAUAUUACCCUUCUGCAACUCUCCGUCUCCUCCCCUUCAUCCCCUUCCCCCUGUUUCCUCCUUACACUAAACAGGAGGAAAGUGGGUCACUUCAUAAUUGCUCUUCUCUAUUUUUGAGAAACCCAGAGGCACAAAAUGGAACAAACAGUGUGGCUGCUACAGCUGAAACAAUGUAGUGUUCCUCAUGACCAGGAUGAUCCAGUAAUGCCUUGGAAUGCCACAGAGCUCUUGGAAACCAGAAGGGUGGCACACGGCUGCCAGAGUGUGUCUUGUGUGGACUAGGAGAAGUCAGCUGAAAUGGUAUGAUUUUCUUUCCUUUUAAAAUCAUUAUUGUAGGCAGUUAGAAAAAAACCCUCUAUAUUCUGUGUGCUGAGAUAUUGAUCUAACUUCUAAAUCCCUCUAACCUGAUUAAGGCCUUAAGAAUUUCAACUAUUGAAAAAUAAGAUUUUUUUUUCAUCUAAAUAUCUCAAGCUUAACAUCCCUAGUGCAGCCUGAGUCUUUCCCUGAGAAAUUCAAGCAGCUCAGCCUGUAGGGAUCAUUCAUCCCUACCAAAGGCUUUAACAUAUGUUUGUAUGCAAAUAUAGUUUACAUAUAUAUUAAGCUUUUAUACGUAUAUGUAAAUGUAGAUUAUGUGUAUGGCAGUUUGCAGCCAAUCUCGAGAAGGGAUUUUCUUGGUACCUUUUCAUGGUACGUAGUUGGGCAAACAAAGCCUGAUCUGACCCAGGCAGUUUCGAGAUGUCUGUUAUCCUUGUCAUCCUUGGGAUCACACCUUCCCUAAAGGGAGUUUGAAGCUGGGGCAUAUGGGGGUGAUUGCAAAGAUGCACCUUCCUCUGUGGUGACUUUCACUUUAUAGCACAGGCUGGAGCAGCUGUUAGUGCAGAAGAGAGGAGAUCCAGAGCUCUGGUAAAUGCUCAUGGCACACACCCUUCCACUGGAAGGGAGUGUUGCAACUUCCA
rnacentral:lncRNA from 13 species